rnacentral:antisense_RNA from 1 species
GUCCUGGGAUGACCUGUGGCGGAAGGUAAACCGAAGGUGACUGCGGUUAACGUCCUCGAUGGGAAUGGCCACCUUCAAGAAUUGAAAAAGAAGUUUAAGCACUGUUAUCAAUAUCGUCCAGCAUAACAGCUUUAUUCAACUGGAGCUAUCAGAUAUGAAAUUCCAGAUCAUGGGAGGGAGAGUUUGAAGGAAGGAUGAACCACCAAUAGAAAGCGGUCCCCAAAGAGGUAUCGGGGAUGGCACCCAGACAGGAGCACAUGUACCACUGCCCAGAAUGUGCAUUUCACUAGACAAGUGACGACAAAAAGCGGAGCAUAGAGGACUUUUAGGAUGGUGAAGCUACCCAGUGAGAGACUACAAUGAGAUAAUUGGUCUUUCACAUUUCUUGUGCUAUCACCAAAAAUAACAGAGCACCACCAUGGCGGAGGAAGAGCACCAACGUGGCGGAUAAAGAGCACCAACGUGGCGGAUAAAGAGCACCGACGUGGCGGAGGAAGAGCACCGACGUGGCGGAGGAAGAGCACCGACGUGGCGGAGGAAGAGCACCGACGUGGCGGAGGAAGAGCACCAACAUGAAGCUAACCGCAUCCUCUUCACGGUUUGCUUUUCUUCCUCCUCUUCGUCCUGCACAAUCCAUUCUUAUGUCCACCACUGAGACCCGAAAACCUCCACUGACUGGCUUCCCUACAGACUGAGAAUAUGG